UACGUAGGGUGCAAGCGUUAAUCGGAAUUACUGGGCGUAAAGCGUGCGCAGGCGGUGAUGUAAGACAGGUGUGAAAUCCCCGGGCUUAACCUGGGAACUGCAUUUGUGACUGUAGAGCUGGAGUGCGGCAGAGGGGGAUGGAAUUCCGCGUGUAGCAGUGAAAUGCGUAGAUAUGCGGAGGAACACCGAUGGCGAAGGCAAUCCCCUGGGCCUGCACUGACGCUCAUGCACGAAAGCGUGGGGAGCAAACAGG
rnacentral:rRNA from 1 species